AGAGUUUGAUCCUGGCUCAGAACGAACGCUGGCGGCAGGCCUAACACAUGCAAGUCGAGCGCCUCCGCAAGGGGGAGCGGCGGACGGGUGAGUAACGCGUGGGAAUUUUCCUCAAGGUACGGAACAACUCAGGGAAACUUGGGCUAAUACCGUAUGAUGUCUAGCGACCAAAGAUUUAUCGCCUUGGGAUAAGCCCGCGUCAGAUUAGGUAGUUGGUGGGGUAACGGCCUACCAAGCCUGCGAUCUGUAGCUGGUCUGAGAGGACGAUCAGCCACACUGGGACUGAGACACGGCCCAGACUCCUACGGGAGGCAGCAGUGGGGAAUCUUGCGCAAUGGGCGAAAGCCUGACGCAGCCAUGCCGCGUGAAUGAUGAAGGUCUUAGGAUUGUAAAGUUCUUUCGCUCGUGACGAUGAUGACGGUAACGAGAGAAGAGCC
rnacentral:rRNA from 1 species